UAGAUACCAUCCUUGUAGUUUGUGCCAAGCGAGUUGCCAGUUUAAUACAAUUGGUCACAACCUAAGGAAUAGGUCAGCUAGUACAUGUCUUGAUAGAUCAAUUGUAACAGUUAGCUGCCUUUUCAAUUGAGAAUUCAGCCACCUUCUUUGUUCCACCAACCAAGGUUAUCAAAACUGGUGUUUGGGGCUUAGGUGGAGUUUGUACUAUGCCAAGGACCAUCAACAUUGACAUAAGACCUGUAUUAGCAUCCCUUUGAUUAUUUUUUUUGAAUGUUUUACCAUGUCGAUUUACUGUUGCUCACUCAACACGUCGCCACUUUGUUUCCCCCCAAAAAAAGUCUGCUUCAAGUUUGGAAAAAGAUGCGGAAAACUAAGAGGGGCGGUUAUGUUCUCACAAGAAGGUCACAGAAGAGUAGAAGAGCUCGCAAUGAUAAAGGACAAACCGAGUCAUUGGCAUCAGUGUUGGAAAAGAUGCAGAAAACUAAGAGGGGUGGUGAUGAUCUCACAAUAAGAUCGCACGAGAGUAGAAAAGCUCAUGUUGAUAAAAAGACGACUGAGUUAGUUGCUUCAUUCUUGGAAGAUAUGUGGGGAACGGAAAGGGGUGGUGAUGAUCUCAAAAGAAUAUCGAAUAGGAGUAGAAGAGCUCGCGUUGGUGGGGAGUGGAUAAAUGAUUCAUUGACCUCAGGUGACUUGCAUGAGAGCUUUAGUCAAGAUGUCUGGACUGGGGUCAGUGAUGAAGUUAUUGAAUCAAAUUUGUCUAAAAGUGUUGCCUCACUUGCUUUGUGCAAUGGAGACACAGUGGUAUUUGUGUGCUCAGGCAUAGCUAUAGAAUGCCAGGAACAUAUUACAAGGUUUCUGACUUCAGCAAGUUUGGUUACACCUUUCUUUAAUACAGAAAAAGACAAGGACGACUUAAAGAUUGAAGUGCACCUUGAAGACAAAAUAUACAACGGGAUCGUGGAUGAAUAUGAUUUAGACCACAACUUUGCUGUUGUCAUUAUCAUCGCCUCGCUUGAUGUUAAUGUUGCUCUCAAACAUGUGGUGGAAAUACUGCCCCAUGGUGAGGUACUAGCUUUAGGGCGUGCCAUCUCUGGCAAACUAAAAGCAACAAAUGUGAUACUUGCUGGUGAUUCAAGCGGAUAUGAAGAUGAAGAUCCUACUUGUAAAAAUCUCGGAGGUGUGGGAAGGUGGGCCACUUUUUACUUCUGAUGGGAAAUUUGUUGGCAUGAAUCUUUUUCUGGUUAUGCAAAGAGCCUUUUUCGUAUCAUGGGGCAAAAUUCUCGAGUGGCUGGAGUCUUCAUCCCCGCAAAAGAAGACAUGUCUUCUACAGUAAAAAAGUUUGAAGGGAGUCAGGUUUGGAGAAAGACCCAUAGGUGAGAAAUCUAACAGCCAUCCAGAAGUAUGCUCAAAUGUUCUCAGCGAGGAUCUGGACUCCAUGGGUUACCCUAAGCCACCAAUGGUGUUAGAUGAUGACAUGAUUUUGGUUAAUACUUUUGAAGAAGCUUUUGGUGACAUUUAUCCUAAAGGUGUAUGGAGGGAACUCGGUUACAAAAGGUCUUUCGCAUGCACGGGUUUUUUCAUUGAAUGGAAUGGAUCUACGAUUAUUUUGACAUCGGCGAGCUUGGUUAGAAGUUCUAGUGAUGAAAACAGGAUUGAUGAAAACUUGAGGAUUGAGGUACUGCUUCCCAGCAAACGGCGCACAGAAGGCAGGCUACAACAUUAUAGUUUGCAUUACAAUAUUGCUCUAGUCAGUGUUGAGGAUUGCCGUGUUGUUCGUCCAGCAAAUGUUCACCCUUCCCGGUUUGGGUGGUCUAAAGUAGCAGCUAUAGGACACUGCUUCGAAUCAGGUGCACUAAUGGCUACGUGUGGGGAUCUGGUUUCCUGGUCAGGCACACUUGAUUGCCAGUACAUUGUACGUUCCACUUGUAAAAUCACCAAGGCUGGGAUUGGAGGGCCCCUUGUUAAUUUGGACGAGGAAGUUCUUGGAAUGAACUUCUGUGACACGAGAAUAGGAACCCCUUUCCUGUUAUGGACUGAUAUUGACAACAUUCUGGCACAUUUUAGGGAAAAAAGCAAGGCUAUUGAAUUUGGGAGCGAUAGUGUUCCCUCUGGUGCCGCUUUCUGGAAAAUGCAUGGUGAUCACAGUGGUUUGUUAAACAGGUGGCCUGUGCCCAUGCCAUGUUGGUGUCAUCGUGAAGAUGUGCAUAAGGAUAAAUCUGAGGAUGAGUUGGUGAGCUUUGAUCCCCAAACUGGCCGCAAGAGGAGAUACGGAUACAUACAAGGAGUGAAAGUUGAACUUUAUUAGAAGCCGUCACACCCUUCUGUUCACUAUUUGUAUCUUCGUGUCCUUAAUGGCUUGAAAUGGCAGAAGGAAUAUAACAUGUGGCUAUAGCUUGCACAAGGAUAUGUUUGUUGCCUAGUCUUAUAAGCAAUACAUGUGCGUGCUUCGUCUCUUAGAAUUAUCCAUUGAGUGUAGUGUAAUAGUAUGUACUGAUAUACUUGGGUUGUGGUUAACUAAGCUACUACAUUGCAAUUGUAAUAUGAUCGAUUAUGUUGGAGUUGAUGCUUGUCGAAUA